UUGGUUUGGUUUCUUUUUUCUUGAAAUAACACAGACGAAAGGAUACGUUGCACAAAGGACGCUCAUUUCUUUGGGAUGAGCUUUGGCUGUGCUUAUAAAUAAUGGUGCCUGUGUUAAAAAUUAGGAGAUAUGAUAUUGAGAUUGUGUAAUGAGCCCAAAACAACAGUGCAGAAGCAGUACCUACUACAGGAGAAGCUUUUUUCUUUUUUUUUUUCAUUUUUUUUUUCCCCAAGGAAGCCAGCUGCAGAAGAUGCUGGUUGGAUCUCCUGUGGUAAAAUCUUAGACUGGGAAUUAAAUUCAUCGGGAAAGCCGCAUCCAGCAUUUAUUGGGCUUGAAAUGAGCUAUGUAGGAACAGAAAAUGUACGUCCUAGAAGAGUCAAGCACUCCUGUCUGUGGGAGAAGGAUGCUUACGGAAAAUGCUGCUGACUAUAAAAAUAAUUAUUUCAGUUUAUCUUUUUAUUAUGCUGUAGUAAACCAGGUGCUGGCAGGAGAUUGGCUGGAAGGGAUGAUGUAACACAAGUGACAUCAGAGGUUGUUUUAAGAGGUUUAAAGGGCGAGGUGAUACUUGGAUGGCUGGAUAACAAGAAUAAAAAAAUUGAUCUCUCAUGAUGACAAAGCAUAAGCUUUUAAAAAUACUUUUCUUUGAAGAAGUUCAUAAGAUUAAAUGUAAAUAUUUUAUUUUAAAAUAGCUCUAAACAGUGGCAAUUGUUGCUUCCCAGAAAUGAAUUAUAUAUGAUUUUAUUACAUGUGGUUGAGGUAGUGUGCACAAGAUCAAGUUGUGAGUUUUAACUCAUGUCCUUCUCAGUGAAAAUAAGAGCUUUAAAUUCCAUAGGGUAUGAUGAGGUUGGAAUUUGUGGUUUGGGGAGUUUUUGGUGUAUCAGGGAUAGUGUUAGCUUGCAAUACUUUUAAAUAAUUGUCUUUUUGUUGAGGACAUGGUGUGUGUUUACACACAACAGUUCUGUAUCUGAAGCUGAUACAGCUCUGUAAAUGUAGCAGGAGAUGAGCUUGGUGGUGGGAAAUGAGGAGAGGGAGCACAGUAAUGAUGUAAGUUGCAAAAACAGAUUAACUGAGUUCUAGCAGAAACUGAUCUGCAGUAGGUAGUGCUUUUGGAAAAGACAGGCCAGAUACCAGUAUUAUGAGUGCAGAAAUGCCAUCGGACCUGUCCCAUCUCAAAAACAAGAACUGAUAGGCUUUGCAGUUCUACACUAAAUGUGAAGCUUCCUUGGAAAGCGGCUACUGCCCCGUGCUGAGUUUCAGUAUGCUUGGGUGGUGUGAAUUACUGCUGUGGCGAUCCAGAUUCUCCUACCUAGUGUCUUAAAGACAUUGAAUGCAACAAAUAAAAUCUGUGGUGUGAGUUAGGCAUUGGUGGUGUUGGGUGGUAUCUGUUUCUUGUGAACCUCUCUAUUUAAUUCGGUCACUCUGCUUCUACUCAAUUAGGCACAAGAAUUAAAAAUACAGUAAAAAGCAAACAAAAAA